rnacentral:rRNA from 1 species
AUUGAACGCUGGCGGCAUGCCUUACACAUGCAAGUCGAACGGCAGCACGGGUGCUUGCACCUGUUGGCGAGUGGCGAAAGGGUGAGUAAUACAUCGGAACAUGUCCUUUAGUGUUGAAUAGCCCUGCGAAAGCCGGAUUAAUACCGCAUACGAUCUACGGAUUAAAGCGGGGGACCUUCGGGCCUCGCGCUAUAGGGUUGGCCGAUGGCUGAUUAGCGAGUUGGGGGGGUAAAGGCCUACCCAGGCGACUAUCAGUAUCUGGUCUGAGAGGUCGACCAGCCACACUGAGACUGAGCCACGGCCCAGACUCCUAGGGGAGGAAGCAGUGGGGAAUUUUGGCAAAUGGGCGAAAGCCUGAUCAAGCAAUGCCGGGUGUGUGAAGAAGGCCUUCGGGUUGUAAAGCACUUUUGUCCGGAAAGAAAUCCUUGGCCCUAAUACGGUCGGGGGAUGACGGUACCGGAAGAAUAAGAACCGGCUAACUACGU